rnacentral:rRNA from 1 species
ACGGGAGGCAGCAGUGGGGAAUAUUGCACAAUGGGCGGAAGCCUGAUGCAGCGACGCCGCGUGAGGGAUGAAGGCCUUCGGGUUGUAAACCUCUUUCAGCAGGGACGAAGCGUGAGUGACGGUACCUGCAGAAGAAGCACCGGCUAACUACGUGCCAGCAGCCGCGGUAAUACGUAGGGUGCGAGCGUUGUCCGGAAUUACUGGGCGUAAAGAGUUCGUAGGCGGUUUGUCGCGUCGUUUGUGAAAACCCGGGGCUCAACUUCGGGCUUGCAGGCGAUACGGGCAGACUUGAGUGUUUCAGGGGAGACUGGAAUUCCUGGUGUAGCGGUGAAAUGCGCAGAUAUCAGGAGGAACACCGGUGGCGAAGGCGGGUCUCUGGGAAACAACUGACGCUGAGGAACGAAAGCGUGGGUAGCAAACAGGAUUAGAUACCCUGGUA